UCUCUCCUCACGUUUCCUCUCUCCCCCACUCUUCCUCUCUCUCACACGUUACUCUCUCUGACAAUAUACAAAAAAGGAAAACAAAAAGAAAGGAGGAGAUACUCAUGACACUCUCUUCACUAAAACAAUAAAUAAAAAGUGAAAAAGGAGAGUUCACUCAUAUACACCACUGGUCCAAGAGAAAAACGAAAAAAACUUUAAAAGGAAACUCUGUUCCUCUUCUUCCAGGAGCAGUGACACCACCACUCCAAAACCCACUGAACUUCUUCUUCCCUCAACCUAGGCGCCGCCCACAACAACAACUCUCCAUUACUUUUUAAAGCUACCACUAUCCCCAUCAUCUUCCGAGGAUCCAUCCGCAUCACCCUUCCUCCGACCAUAAAACUUCACCAUCAAUUCCGGCGACAGCUUCACCGCGUUCAUGACACGUUGCAGGUUGCUGCAGAUUUGUUCCAUGCUCAGCUUUACUAUUCUCCAAACCUCCACAAAAACUCAUGAUUGUUAGUUGUUUUGACGAGUUUCUAGUCCUGGCGAGUUCCGCCGCCAUUUCCAACAUUAGCAGCAAUAUUUCCAAACCCGCUUUAGAUCUGGCCACGGCAUCGCCAACGUCACCACCACCGCCGACUCAAUCGCACCGGUUCCAGCUAGAGCAGCGACCAUCAAUAACAACAAUAACCGGCUGCUCUGAUUUGAACGACAACAACAUCAACAUUUUCAAACUCAUCUUUGCAACAACAUUUCACGACGGUAACGACAAUAUUUAACACAACCGCAAGGUCCUUAUUCCAUUUUCAAUCCGAUCCGUUUUCAGUUCAGAUUACGUCACACCUCAAAAGCAAGAUAUGACGAUUAGAUAACUUCCUAGUGAAUCUGUAGCUAUGAAUAAUUUCAAAAUUUGUUUCAUUGAUUUCUUCUGUGACUUGUGGUUAUAUGUUUAUUUAUUAAUUUUAUUAUGGAGAAUAAUUAGUACUCCAAGUGGAAUGACUAUUAAGAUUAAAAGUGUAAAAAACUUGCAAAAUUUGUAGCUCUGUUCAUGUUUUGACGUUGCACUGUGGAAAAUGUUAUAUAAUAUGUAUGUAGCUUACAUUAUGGAUGAUUAGCUACAUUAUGGAUGAUUGAGGAAAAUGUUCUAUAAUA